rnacentral:rRNA from 1 species
GACGAACGCUGGCGGCGUGCCUAAUACAUGCAAGUCGAGCGGACGUUUUUGAAGCUUGCUUCAAAAACGUUAGCGGCGGACGGGUGAGUAACACGUGGGCAACCUACCUUAUCGACUGGGAUAACGCCGGGAAACCGGGGCUAAUACCGGAUAACAUCUAGCACCUCCUGGUGCCGGAUUAAAAGAGGGCUUCUUGCUCUCACGAUGAGAUGGGCCCGCGGCGCAUUAGCUAGUUGGAGAGGUAACGGCUCCCCAAGGCGACGAUGCGUAGCCGACCUGAGAGGGUGAUCGGCCACACUGGGACUGAGACACGGCCCGGACUCCUACGGGAGGCAGCAGUAGGGAAUCUUCCGCAAUGGACGAAAGUCUGACGGAGCAACGCCGCGUGAGUGAUGAAGGGUUUCGGCUCGUAAAGCUCUGUUAUGAGGGAAGAACACGUACCGUUCGAAUAGGGCGGUACCUUGACGGUACCUCAUCAGAAAGCCACGGCUAACUACGUGCCAGCCGCCGCCGUAA